UUCAAACUCGAAAUGAAGACCCUUUUUAUCGCCUUAUUGGGAAUUGUGGGCAUUGGAAGCUUGUUCCCAACAAUAGAGCCCGCAAGGCCUUGGGAAUAGUUAAAUGCCGUACUUAUAUUUGUAUUCAAAUUGUAAUAAAAAUGAAGUAUAAUGAACAUUAA